GGCUUCAGCGAGGCCCAGCGGGAAGCCGAUGUCCCUGUGCCAGGGUGAGGGCAGUCACCGAAGCAGAUGCUGGGCCACUGAGAAGAGCGAUUGAUUUCAGAAGCUCAAAUUCCUCAGGGUGGCCGCCGUCCUCCUCCCCUUGGUGGGAGGGCGGAGGUAGCUGGGAGCUGUGUUGGCCACCACUGGCUGCCAACGCAGCUCGAGUUGGGAGAGUUGUCGCCAGUCUCUGGCUGUAAGCAGGAGGUUUGUUAGGAAUCAGCAUUGUCUACUUAUGAAGAUUUAUGGAGAAGCUGACAAACAUUAAGCUUUGAAGCCGAAGUCAGUUUAUCGUCUACGGAAGCAUCUAGCACUCUGUGCGAUUGGUGAAUGACUGGCCCCCACACACCUGCCACCCAGUAAAACGGCCAGGAGUGGUGCUUGCUGCUGGCCAGUGAAACAAGCACCUUUGAGGGCUUGACCUCCAGGCACAGCAUGUCCAGCCAGGAAGGCCUCCUCACUCUGCUAAGUGUUGAGCCUGGGUGUUUUUCAGACUCACUUUCAGGGCACCGUGAGUGGGUGGGGAGGCGGCGGGGGGGCAGAAGGCGAAGCACUAACCA
ensembl:lncRNA novel transcript